rnacentral:rRNA from 1 species
CUCCUACGGGAGGCAGCAGUGAGGAAUAUUGGUCAAUGGCCGGAAGGCUGAACCAGCCAAGCCGCGUGAAGGACGAAGGUGCCAAGCAUUGUAAACUUCUUUUGUCGGGGAACAAAGGCGGAGACGCGUCUCCGAAUGAGUGUACCCGAAGAAAAAGCAUCGGCUAACUCCGUGCCAGCAGCCGCGGUAAUACGGAGGAUGCGAGCGUUAUCCGGAUUUAUUGGGUUUAAAGGGUGCGCAGGCGGGAGAUCAAGUCAGCGGUAAAAUGUCGGGGCUCAACCCCGGCCGGCCGUUGAAACUGGUUU